rnacentral:rRNA from 1 species
AUUGAACGCUGGCGGCAUGCCUUACACAUGCAAGUCGAACGGUAACAGGUCUUCGGAUGCUGACGAGUGGCGAACGGGUGAGUAAUACAUCGGAACGUGCCCGAGAGUGGGGGAUAACGAAGCGAAAGCUUUGCUAAUACCGCAUACGAUCUCAGGAUGAAAGCAGGGGACCGCAAGGCCUUGCGCUCACGGAGCGGCCGAUGGCAGAUUAGGUAGUUGGUGGGAUAAAAGCUUACCAAGCCGACGAUCUGUAGCUGGUCUGAGAGGAUGAUCAGCCACACUGGGACUGAGACACGGCCCAGACUCCUACGGGAGGCAGCAGUGGGGAAUUUUGGACAAUGGGCGCAAGCCUGAUCCAGCCAUUCCGCGUGCAGGAUGAAGGCCUUCGGGUUGUAAACUGCUUUUGUACAGAACGAAAAGGCUCUGGUUAAUACCCGGGGCUCAUGACGGUACUGUAAGAAUAAGCACCGGCUAACUACGUGCCAGCCGCCGCCGUAA